rnacentral:lncRNA from 1 species
GCUUUGGCCACCUUUAGGAUGGGAGUCAGCCACUGAUCAUGAAACUAAACUAAUGACCAUGAAACCAACGGCACAGUGGUUCUCUCUCCCUCUCCACUUUUCCCAUCCAGCUAGUAGCAACAACUGCCGCCCUGAACAGCUGUUGCUAUGAAGCGGACACGAUGUAGUGACGUCAUCAUAAUGCAUCAUGUACGAUGCCCUGCCUCAUGUAGGUUGUGGGGUGAAGAGAGAGGGCAUAAAUUGCACUGACUCUUCACGGUUUUAUCUGGUCUGGCUCUUCUGCAUGAAAAGAAAAAACAUGAAUCUUCCCCUUUAUACCAGAGCAACUUUUUAUACCAGAAGCUUUUGGGGGAUUAUCAACAAACUUGUCAAAUGCCUUCUGAGGUUUAAGUACCAGAAUAAGCACUUGACCAGUCAAUGACUGCCACUUAGAGCCACAGCCACCAUGCCUGAAUUGCAAGGGAGCACCUGCGGAGGAGCAGAAGCAUGAAGAGAGCAGCAGCACUUGGAAGCAGAAAGAAGCACUGGCAGAAAGGGCUCCUCUGGCCACAGUCUGGUAUUGGAUCCUUAAGGGGUGGAGUGAGUGAGUGUAUGUUUCUAUAUGUCACUCCCUUGUACGUUGGUAAAACUAAGUAAAAAAACUCUUCACAGUAACCUUGGUGAUCAGAGGUGUGGUUUGCCUUCAACUACUUGUCACCGAGGCUCCCCCGAUCCAGGAAGGUCCUGGUUGGUACGAACCGAACCGGGAGCUUGCAACAACUUGCUCCUUAGGCUUUUCAAAAAUCAAUGCCUUAUUUGAGAUUGGAAUGGUAUAAGAGGGUUUUAGUCCCCAAUGAAAGUGAAAUGUUAUAGAAAGCCUUUGUGUUAACUGGAAGAGAAGUUUAAACUACAAAAGUGGUUUCUCUGGGUAAUACAGGCUCUUAGUACCAUCAUCUGCACGCAGUAAGUACUCAAAUACUGUUAUUGAUUGAGACCAGGAGAACACAGUGAUUAUGGUGCUUGUUUAGAAUUUACUAUUGCACCAAACAC